rnacentral:rRNA from 1 species
UACAGAGGUGGCAAGCGUUGUUCGGAAUUACUGGGCGUAAAGGGCGCGUAGGAGGCCUUCUUAGUCAGACGUGAAAUCCCCAGGCUUAACCUGGGAACUGCGUCUGAUACUGGAAGGCUCGAGUUCGGGAGAGGAAUGUGGAAUUCCAGGUGUAGCGGUGAAAUGCGUAGAUAUCUGGAGGAACACCGGUGGCGAAGGCGGCAUUCUGGACCGAAACUGACGCUGAGGCGCGAAAGCCAGGGGAGCAAACGGG